rnacentral:tRNA from 1 species
GGUUAAUGAGCUUGAUAAGCCUGUAUUUUGAAAAUACAAGAUAGGAAUGCAUCCUAUUAACCU